rnacentral:rRNA from 1 species
AGCCUGAUCCAGCCAUGCCGCGUGAGUGAAGAAGGCCUUCGGGUUGUAAAGCUCUUUCGGACAGAAAGAAAUCAUAUAACUUAAUACGUUAUGUGGAUGACGGUACUGUAAGAAGAAGCACCGGCUAACUACGUGCCAGCAGCCGCGGUAA